GACGUAGGGCGCGAGCGUUGUCCGGAUUUAUUGGGCGUAAAGAGCUCGUAGGCGGCUCGUUGCGUCAACCGUAAAAACCCGGGGCUUAACUUCGGGCUUGCGGUUGAUACGGGCGGGCUGGAGUUCGGUAGGGGAGACUGGAAUUCCUGGUGUAGCGGUGAAAUGCGCAGAUAUCAGGAGGAACACCGGUGGCGAAGGCGGGUCUCUGGGCCGAUACUGACGCUGAGGAGCGAAAGCGUGGGGAGCGAACAGG
rnacentral:rRNA from 1 species